rnacentral:lncRNA from 1 species
UGUAAGUAAAAAAAAUGUCAGUUAGAAAAAAAUAAGUUUUCAUGCAAAUGGUAUACCAAAAAAAUCCUGCAUCAACACGAGACAACUGAACAAAAAAAAAUGUUUUAAUGCAAAUUCUAUACCUAAAAUGUAGAAAAUCCUGCAACUCAAUAAAAAAAAAUGUUUUUAUGCAGAUUUUAUACCCUGCAAACCCUGCAUCUACAACACAAGACAACUCAACAAAAAAAAUGUUUUCAUGCAAAUUUUAUACCUUGCAAAUCCUGCAUAAACUCAAAACAAGAAGACAAAAAAAAAAAGGUUUCAUAUUCAUUAAUUUGAUUCACUAAAUGGGAUAUACAUGUAUGUAUUCUUGGUGCAUUACAAACAC